GGGGAUGUAGCUCAGUGGUAGAGCACUCGCCUAGCAUGCGUGUGGCCCUGGUUUUAAUCCCCAAUAUCACAA
rnacentral:tRNA from 1 species